UACAGAGGAUGCAAGCGUUAUCCGGAAUGAUUGGGCGUAAAGCGUCUGUAGGUGGCUUUUUAAGUCCGCCGUCAAAUCCCAGGGCUCAACUCUGGACAGGCGGUGGAAACUACCAAGCUGGAGUACGGUAGGGGCAGAGGGAAUUUCCGGUGGAGCGGUGAAAUGCGUAGAUAUCGGGAAGAACACCCGUGGCGAAGGCGGCUCUCUGGAACGCAACUGACGCUGAGACGCGAAAGCGUGGGGAGCAAACAGGG
rnacentral:rRNA from 1 species